rnacentral:lncRNA from 1 species
UCAUACUGAAAAGCCACAAAGCUUGUCAAUUUUGUUUCAGAGUACCAUUGGGGUUGCCUCUAGCCUUAUGCCUCCCUGUGAGAAUAUUUUGUUUAGGGUUAUUUUCUCUCAAAAAGUGUUUAUACAAGGUAUAUAAGAAAUAUACUCCUUAGAUUAUUAUGUUAUUGGUGGUAUUAUUAUUAUUAUUAUUAUUAUUAUUAUUAUUUUGCUCCUGGGUUAGCCCCCCAAAACUGAAAGUUUCUGGAGGAAAUUAUCAGUAACUAAGUUUUAGGACUUUCCCUUAUGGUUAUGUGCAAUCUGACUUUCUUUGGUUACUGACCAUUCUAUGGUGGGAAAGAGCAAGACUGCAGGCAUGGUUGAUUAAAAACAGGUUGGUGAAUGCUAUACAUGUAAUGUGGACAAAGUCAAAUAUCAGCCCGGCACUUCUACACUGAGUAAAUCUGAACUCUUUUUCUCACCUGGAAAUUGUCAGACUUACCUAGUCUAACAUCUAUUAAGUCUUAAUCUAUUUCUUUUACUUUUUUUAGGACUGAGAAAUGAAUAGGAAACUCAGUGGGUUGGAGAGUACUUAAAUGCCGUGGGCCUUUAAGGAAAUUCUACUGAAAUCAAUAUAACUAAGGAAAGCAUGUUUGAAUAUAGAGAAAGCAUGAAAAUACUGUAAAGAUAAACUUGUCGGUAUUUCUGAAGUCCGGCAGUUUGACAGAGAGAAAUUUUUCUGGAAAAUGGAACUACAUUAACAAAGAUAAACAGAUUAUCCUGAUGAUGUUACAAAAGCUAAGACAGAAAUUCUCCUGCCUCAUCACUACAGUUACCACAUACCUUGUGGUUGAAUUUUUAUUGUUCUUCU